rnacentral:rRNA from 1 species
GUACACGCCGUAAACGAUGUCAACUAGCCGUUGGAAGCCUUGAGCUUUUAGUGGCGCAGCUAACGCAUUAAGUUGACCGCCUGGGGAGUACGGCCGCAAGGUUAAAACUCAAAUGAAUUGACGGGGCCCGCACAAGCGGUGGAGCAUGUGGUUUAAUUCGAAGCAACGCGAAGAACCUUACCAGGCCUUGACAUCCAAUGAACUUUCCAGAGAUGGAUUGGUGCCUUCGGGAACAUUGAGACAGGUGCUGCAUGGCUGUCGU